UGCGUUCCCAAAGCUGCUCUAGGAUGGGACCCAGGAGUCCGGCCUCCGAAUCCCUUUAAACUCACCCCAUGUCGAGAAAGGAACCCAGGAGUCCUGGCUCCCAUUCCCUGCCCCCGCGAUCCCUCCCUCCCUGCUUGCACCGUUCCCCCACUGCCUCUGAGGUUAAAUGGUUAAGCACCAUAGAGAAUGUCAUUUCUCCCUCUCCUUUUCAUUCUCAGCCAACUGCAUUAGCAGCAGCGGAAGAGGGGAACUGUGCAGGGGAGGGAACUUCCUUUCUCUCCCUCCCCUCCCUCCCAGUCACCCUGAGCCCUGGUGGCUGAUGAGGAGGGACGGGGGUGCUUGCAGUGCAAAGGCAGCUUUGGGGGCUCCCCAUGCUUUAUGGGGGGGUGCCCUGGGGCAGAUCUCCCAGGGCCACACUCCUGCAGCUACAAUGAUGCUGCUGAUUUGGCCAACUGAAGCUUGACAUCAUACAUUGCACAUCUGGGAUCUGGAGAUAUGGACGGGGAAGACAUGCAGGAGAACUCCGAAGCUGACGUUUCCUUGGAUCACUCGGAAAAUGUUCCUGCUGCAGCCUCCCAGAUGGAAGCAAAAAAAGUGGCGGCUGAUCCCAAUGGUCCUGGAACUUUGGCAGAAGAAAGGUCCCUGAGAACCACCCAUGCAGGUGAGAAAGAGGA